rnacentral:rRNA from 1 species
AACGAACGCUGGCGGCAUGCCUAACACAUGCAAGUCGAACGAGACCUUCGGGUCUAGUGGCGCACGGGUGCGUAACGCGUGGGAACCUGCCCUUAGGUUCGGAAUAACUCCCCGAAAGGGGUGCUAAUACCGGAUAAUGUCCUCGGACCAAAGAUUUAUCGCCUUUGGAUGGGCCCGCGUUGGAUUAGCUAGUUGGUAGGGUAAAAGCCUACCAAGGCGACGAUCCAUAGCUGGUCUGAGAGGAAGAUCAGCCACACUGGGACUGAGACACGGCCCAGACUCCUACGGGAGGCAGCAGUGGGGAAUAUUGGACAAUGGGCGAAAGCCUGAUCCAGCAAUGCCGCGUGAGUGAUGAAGGCCUUAGGGUUGUAAAGCUCUUUUACCCGGGAUGAUAAUGACAGUACCGGGAGAAUAAGCUCCGGCUAACUCCGUG